rnacentral:rRNA from 1 species
GACGAGGGGUCCAAGCGUUGUUCGGAAUCAUUGGGCGUAAAGGGUGCGUAGGUGGCGCGGUAAGUCGGGUGUGAAAUCUCGGAGCUUAACUCCGAAAUUGCAUUCGAUACUGGCGUGCUUGAGGACUGGAGAGGAGACUGGAAUUCAUGGUGUAGCAGUGAAAUGCGUAGAGAUCAUGAGGAAGACCAGUGGCGAAGGCGGGUCUCUGGACAGUUCCUGACGCUGAGGCACGAAGGUCAGGGGGAGCAAACGGG